rnacentral:rRNA from 1 species
ACCAGCAGCUACAUCACCCUGCAACUCACAGCUGGCAGCCCUGAAGCUCAGCAGGUGUGAGCCUGGCCAGUACCUGGAUGGGAGACCUGCUGGGAAAAACUAAGGCUGCUGCUGGAA